GAUGAACGCUGGCGGCGUGCCUAACACAUGCAAGUCGAACGAAGCAAUUAAAGGAAGUUUUCGGAUGGAAUUUGAUUGACUGAGUGGCGGACGGGUGAGUAACGCGUGGAUAACCUGCCUCACACUGGGGGAUAACAGUUAGAAAUGACUGCUAAUACCGCAUAAGCGCACAGUGCCGCAUGGUACGGUGUGAAAAACUCCGGUGGUGUGAGAUGGAUCCGCGUCUGAUUAGCCAGUUGGCGGGGUAACGGCCCACCAAAGCGACGAUCAGUAGCCGACCUGAGAGGGUGACCGGCCACAUUGGGACUGAGACACGGCCCAAACUCCUACGGGAGGCAGCAGUGGGGAAUAUUGCACAAUGGGCGAAAGCCUGAUGCAGCGACGCCGCGUGAGUGAAGAAGUAUUUCGGUAUGUAAAGCUCUAUCAGCAGGGAAGAAAAUGACGGUACCUGACUAAGAAGCCCCGGCUAACUACGUGCCAGCAGCCGCGGUAAUACGUAGGGGGCAAGCGUUAUCCGGAUUUACUGGGUGUAAAGGGAGCGUAGACGGCGAAGCAAGUCUGAAGUGAAAACCCAGGGCUCAACCCUGGGACUGCUUUGGAAACUGUUUUGCUAGAGUGUCGGAGAGGUAAGUGGAAUUCCUAGUGUAGCGGUGAAAUGCGUAGAUAUUAGGAGGAACACCAGUGGCGAAGGCGGCUUACUGGACGAUAACUGACGUUGAGG
rnacentral:rRNA from 1 species